AAUGUGUCGCACAUAACGUGUUUCCUUGUGUACAUGCGUAGUAGGUAUCACACAGAUGUGAAACACCAAGUUUGGUUUCCACAAUUGUUUCGCCUUGUUGAUAGCCAUUUACAAAAAAAAUCAAGCCAUUUGUUUUAUUAGGUAUUAUUAGUUGAUACCAUAGCCAGCUAGUUGGCUACUACUAUAGCUAACGUUAGCAUUGGCUCACAAUUUGCUAGCUAGCUGACGUUACUUGGCUGCACUUCGAAGUCAACUUCAGUUGCCACUUUGCCAAUGUAGCUAACAUGCUGGUGUGUUAAAAGGAGCAAUGUUAGUGGGAUACGUAGUUUUCCAUCGUAUUGUUAACAUACUGCUACUAUUUUUAAUUAGGAAAGUAAGCUAGCCAACUAUAGACAGACAUGGAGAAUCAAACCCAUGCGAGGAAAGCGUCUGCGCCCAUUGUGUCCCAAAUCAACGCAGAAUAUGUCACACAGUUGGCUAAUAGAUACUGGGUGCCCCAAGAAUAAACUACCAUUCGACCCAAAGGUCUUGGAGGAUGUCUAUGAGAAAGUGAUUCUAAAGUCCGUGUUCGCCAUUAGGAAGAUCAUGUUACUGGAGUUCAGGUGGAUUUUGACCCUUUUGGCCUCAAUACCUUAUCAAUGA
rnacentral:lncRNA from 1 species